GCUUACACAUGCAAGUCGAGCGGUAAGGCCCUUCGGGGUACACGAGCGGCGAACGGGUGAGUAACACGUGAGCAACCUGCCCCUGACUCCGGGAUAAGCGGUGGAAACGCCGUCUAAUACCGGAUACGACCCGCCAUCUCAUGGUGGUGGGUGGAAAGUUUUCUCGGUUGGGGAUGGGCUCGCGGCCUAUCAGCUUGUUGGUGGGGUAACGGCCUACCAAGGCGAUUACGGGUAGCCGGCCUGAGAGGGCGACCGGCCACACUGGGACUGAGACACGGCCCAGACUCCUGCGGGAGGCAGCAGUGGGGAAUAUUGCGCAAUGGGCGAAAGCCUGACGCAGCGACGCCGCGUGGGGGAUGACGGCCUUCGGGUUGUAAACCUCUUUUACCACCAACGCAGGCUCCCAGUUCUCUGGGGGUUGACGGUAGGUGGGGAAUAAGGACCGGCUAACUACGUGCCAGCAGCCGCGGUAAUACGUAGGGUCCGAGCGUUGUCCGGAAUUAUUGGGCGUAAAGAGCUCGUAGGCGGCGUGUCGCGUCUGCUGUGAAAGACCGGGGCUUAACUCCGGUUCUGCAGUGGAUACGGGCAUGCUAGAGGUAGGUAGGGGAGACUGGAAUUCCUGGUGUAGCGGUGAAAUGCGCAGAUAUCAGGAGGAACACCGGUGGCGAAGGCGGGUCUCUGGGCCUUACCUGACGCUGAG
rnacentral:rRNA from 1 species